UACGUAGGGUGCGAGCGUUAAUCGGAAUUACUGGGCGUAAAGCGUGCGCAGGCGGUUUUGUAAGCCAGAGGUGAAAUCCCCGGGCUCAACCUGGGAACUGCCUUUGUGACUGCAUAGCUAGAGUACGGUAGAGGGGGAUGGAAUUCCGCGUGUAGCAGUGAAAUGCGUAGAUAUGCGGAGGAACACCGAUGGCGAAGGCAAUCCCCUGGACCUGUACUGACGCUCAUGCACGAAAGCGUGGGGAGCAAACAGG
rnacentral:rRNA from 1 species